rnacentral:rRNA from 1 species
UGCCAGCAGCCGCGGUAAUACGUAGGUGGCAAGCGUUAUUCGGAUUUAUUGGGCGUAAAGGGUCCGUAGGGGGUUUGAUUAGUCUGAUGUGAAAGCCCGGGGCUCAACCCCGGAAGUGCAUUGGAAACUGGCGAACUUGAGUACGGGAGAGGAAAGUGGAAUUCCGAGUGUAGGGGUGAAAUCCGUAGAUAUUCGGAGGAACACCAGUGGCGAAGGCGGCUUUCUGGACCGAUACUGACGCUGAGACGCGAAAGCGUGGGGAGCAAACAGGAUUAGAUA